AGGGUCCAUCCAGUAAAAGAACACCUUUUUAAUCUGUCUUAAGAGAGAAAGACUGUUCCUCAGAGGAUUGCUUGUUUGGGCGAUGGAAAAGGAAAGAUGCUCUACCUACGUUCAAGAUGUAGAAGAAAUGGCUCCUGUCUUUGAGGAUGCAAAAAUACAGUUAUGCACAGGCAGCCUAUGGCUGUCAAUUAGACAACUAAAACAACCUGCAGCCACUGUGAGUUUGUACACGUUGUCCGACCUUGGAUCACUUCCUCUUUCUAAAUGAGAGUGAUGGACAGUGAUGAUCAUGUGCCGAUAAGUUGUGUUUGUAUGCUCUCCGGAGGUCUUCACCAGUAGUCUAGAUCCUGUCAAUUGAGUAAGUGCUUUCAA